rnacentral:rRNA from 1 species
GAUUUCUGGUCUGACAUGCCUGGCCCGCCGGGGUCACCCGUGUGAGUGCCGGUGCGCGUCUACCAUCCUUCUGGAAAACGGCCUUACCCUUCACUGGGCCGAGGUCGCGAUCCAGAUCUUUUACUUUGAAAAAAUUAGAGUGUUUAAAGCAGGCUUACGCUAUGAAUACAUUAGCAUGGAAUAAUAAUUUAGGACUUCGGUCUCUAUUUUGUUGGUUUCUAGAGCUGAAGUAAUGAUUGAUAGGGAUAGUUGGGGGUGCUAGUAUUCAUCGGCCAGAGGUGAAAUUCUUGGAUUCGAUGAAGACUAACUUAUGCGAAAGCAUU